rnacentral:rRNA from 1 species
GUUUGAUCAUGGCUCAGGAUGAACGCUAGCGGCGUGCUUUAUGCAUGCAAGUCGCACGGUCCUUUUCGCAAGGGAAGGAUAGUGGCAAACGGGUGCGUAACGCGUAAGCAACCUGUCCCCAAGUGAGGGAUAACACCGGGAAACUGGUGCUAAUACCUCGUGUGGUAGUUGACCGCAGGGUUGAUUACUAAAGCCUUCGGGCGCCUGGGGAGGGGCUUGCGUCCUAUCAGGUAGUUGGUGGGGUAACGGCCUACCAAGCCGAUGACGGGUAGCUGGUCUGAGAGGAUGUCCAGCCACACUGGAACCGAGAUACGGUCCAGACUCCUACGGGAGGCAGCAGCAAGGAAUUUUGCGCAAUGGGCGAAAGCCUGACGCAGCGACGCCGCGUGAGGGAAGAAGGCCCUCGGGUUGUAAACCUCUUUUCUCAGGGAAGAAAAAUGACGGUACCUGAGGAAUAAGUCACGGCUAACUGCGUGCCAGCAGCCGCGGUAAUACGUAGGUGGCAGGCGUUAUCCGGAUUCACUGGGCGUAAAGGGAGCGUAGGCGGUUCGGUAAGUCGGAUGUUAAAUCUCUCGGCUUAACUGGGAGAAGUCAUUCGAUACUGCCGAACUUGAGGACAGUAGAGGGAGGUGGAAUUCCCGGUGUAGUGGUGAAAUACGUAGAUAUCGGGAGGAACACCUGUGGCGAAAGCGACCUCCUGGGCUGUCCCUGACGCUGAGGCUCGAAAGCGUGGGGAGCGAACAGGAUCAGAUACCCUGGUAGUCCACGCCCUAAACUGUGGACACUAGGUACAGGGAGUAUCGACCCUCUCUGCGCCGUAGCUAACGUGUUAAGUGUCCCGCCUGGGGACUACGGUCGCAAGACUAAAACUCAAGGAAUU